rnacentral:tRNA from 1 species
GUGCGGGAAGCGAAAAUUCGCGCUCGGUUUCGGCCCGUGUUUUGGAAACUAUCUCCCUCGCGCU